UGUACACACAAUGCAGCAAACCAGAGAACUGUUGUUGUCCCCCGAGGGGCCUCACCCGGAGGUGGGGCCGCUGAUGGCAUGGCACGGCUGAGAGGCCGGCCCCGUGGGCGUAGCGGGGAUCAUCGCCGUCGGUUGGAGUGUCCCAUUGUCGUGGCUUCGGUCAUAUGAUGUUGACACCCCUUAGUGGGAGUUGGCGUCUGCCGGUCGGGGUCGGGCACUCCCCUCCCCCUUUUUCCCCGUCUUUGGGGUCUCUGGGGCCGCUUUUUCACAAGGACCUUGAGGAACAUGAAUCUCAGAGACUGAGCUUGGGGCCCGUGUUGCCUUUGCAGGUGAUGCAGCCCGAGUCAAAAACCAAAAUAACGACUCUCAGCAACGGAUAUCUUGGCUCUUGCAACGAUGAAGAACGCAGCGAAAUGCGAUACCUAGUGUGAAUUGCAGAAUUCCGCGAAUCAUCGAGUCUUUGAACGCAAGUUGCGCCCGAGGCUUGUCCCGAGGGCAUGCCUGCCUGAGCGUCACCGCACUCUCACCUGGAUACUCUCCAGUGUGGAAUUGGCCGUCCGGGACCUGGCUUGAAGCUGCGCGUCUCGGUGGGCUGAAAUUUAGCUAUCUGGGUGCAGCCAAAGAGAGAGGCCGCGAGAAGGUGAUUUGCUCUUUGCUGAGCAAAGUCUAAUUGGACAGCGCCUCUCCCUUUUGGUGAUCCGGAUGGUGGCACUUCACGUGUCGUUGGGGAGUGCAGGUAAUGUUGCAUCUUCCCUCCCCUAUUAGCUUGGACCUCAGAUCAGGCAAGAUUACCCGCUGAGUUUAAGCAUAUCACUA
rnacentral:rRNA from 1 species